rnacentral:rRNA from 2 species
UUUUGUGGGGUGCUCGAGUGGCGAACGGGUGAGUAACACGUGAGUAACCUGCCCUUGACUUUGGGAUAACUUCAGGAAACUGGGGCUAAUACCGGAUAGGAGCUCCUGCUGCAUGGUGGGGGUUGGAAAGUUUCGGCGGUUGGGGAUGGACUCGCGGCUUAUCAGCUUGUUGGUGGGGUAGUGGCUUACCAAGGCUUUGACGGGUAGCCGGCCUGAGAGGGUGACCGGCCACAUUGGGACUGAGAUACGGCCCAGACUCCUACGGGAGGCAGCAGUGGGGAAUAUUGCACAAUGGGCGGAAGCCUGAUGCAGCAACGCCGCGUGCGGGAUGACGGCCUUCGGGUUGUAAACCGCUUUCGCCUGUGACGAAGCGUGAGUGACGGUAAUGGGUAAAGAAGCACCGGCUAACUACGUGCCAGCAGCCGCGGUGAUACGUAGGGUGCGAGCGUUGUCCGGAUUUAUUGGGCGUAAAGGGCUCGUAGGUGGUUGAUCGCGUCGGAAGUGUAAUCUUGGGGCUUAACCCUGAGCGUGCUUUCGAUACGGGUUGACUUGAGGAAGGUAGGGGAGAAUGGAAUUCCUGGUGGAGCGGUGGAAUGCGCAGAUAUCAGGAGGAACACCAGUGGCGAAGGCGGUUCUCUGGGCCUUUCCUGACGCUGAGGAGCGAAAGCGUGGGGAGCGAACAGGCUUAGAUACCCUGGUAGUCCACGCUGUAAACGGUGGGUACUAGGUGUGGGGUCCAUUCCACGGGUUCCGUGCCGUAGCUAACGCUUUAAGUACCCCGCCUGGGGAGUACGGCCGCAAGGCUAAAACUCAAAGGAAUUGACGGGGCCCCGCACAAGCGGCGGAGCAUGCGGAUUAAUUCGAUGCAACGCGUANAACCUUACCUGGGUUUGACAUGGNUCGGGAGUGCUCANAGAUGGGUGUGCCUCUUUUGGGGUCGGUUCACNNNGGUGCAUGGCUGUCGU